rnacentral:rRNA from 1 species
CCUACGGGAGGCAGCAGUGGGGGAUAUUGCACAAUGGGGGAAACCCUGAUGCAACGACGCCGCGUGAGUGAAGAAGUAUUUCGGUAUGUAAAGCUCUAUCCGUAGGGAAGAAAAAAGACGGUAGCUGACUAAGAAGCCCCGGCUAACUACGUGCCAGCAGCCGCGGUAAUACGUAGGUGGCAAGCGUUAUCCGGAGUGACUGGGUGUAAAGGGAGCGCAGACGGCAAUACAAGUCGGCUGUGAAAUCUACGGGCUUAACCUGUGGACUGCUGUUGAAACUGGUUGGCUGGAGUGAUGGAGAGGUAAGCGGAAUUCCGAGUGUAGCGGUGAAAUGCGUAGAUAUUAGGAGGAACACCAGUGGCGAAGGCGGCUGACUGGGCAGUAACUGACGUUGAGGCUCGAAAGUGUGGGGAGCAAACAGGAUUAGAUACCCGAGUAGUC